rnacentral:lncRNA from 1 species
GUUUUAUUUUUAUCUUGAACACCAUCCAAGGGAGUAGAAAGCACAGAGGUCAGAAACAAAGCUGGUUUUCCUUCUGCCUGUGGUCCUUGUGCCAAAGCUGCCUCCCUAACUGGGCUUACUCUGGUACUUCCUGCUUUUGAGAAGCCUUCAUGCAUCAGACUAUUUUGGGAAGACCCUGGGCUCAGCACCCCUGGCUGAGGCCUUGACCUUUCAGAAGAAUGGCAGGGCCGGAGGUCUGGGGCUUCUCUUCCACUAUUAGAGACAUGCAGCAGCAGGUAGGGGUGAUGGAGCUCCAGAUGGACUCAGCACUUGAGGCUUGCCCAUGUGGCAGAAUACCUAUGGCUUUAGGACAGGAUCUCAGGAGCCAAAGGACAUUCAAGUGUGUAGGUGCAACUUUUAUAUGCAAAAAAACUAGCAUUUCAUAAGAACUUUAGAAAAAGAUGGAUGUGUG